GGCUCCUGGGCCUGGGCGUCGAGAUAGCUCUUGGCCCCGGCCUGCGGGGGCAGAUAAGGCUGCCGGAGGGAGCUAGUCACCGGCCGCAAGCAGAGCCCGGUGUGCUCCGCUUCCAACUGGGAGCGCCUUCCGCCACCCGGGGAGGGGGACUGCUGCAGCCACAGGGUGGGGCUCUUGGUUCUUUCCGCCUGACUCCUUCUCUUCUGCAGCCCCAAGGAGGCCCGCCUGACGACUGACCAGUUGCCAUGGCAUCCUACUACGAGAUCCUAGACGUGCCGCGAAGUGCGUCCGCUGAUGACAUCAAGAAGGCGUAUCGGCGCAAGGCUCUCCAGUGGCACCCAGACAAAAACCCAGAUAAUAAAGAGUUUGCUGAGAAGAAAUUUAAGGAGGUGGCCGAGGCAUAUGAAGUGCUGUCUGACAGUAAGG
rnacentral:sRNA from 1 species